rnacentral:ribozyme from 1 species
UGCUCAGCAACUCCUAUCCCUACCUCCUCAUGAUAUCGGCCGGAAACUAUGAGCAACCUUAGGAAAGAUCGGGUAACCACAGAACUUUGGUCCACAGAACUUUGGUCGUAGGCUGACAAGGAAGG